CCUACGGGUGGCAGCAGUGAGGAAUAUUGGUCAAUGGGCGCGAGCCUGAACCAGCCAAGUCGCAUGAGGGAUGAAGGUUCUAUGGAUCGUAAACCUCUUUUAUAAGGGAAUAAAGUGUGGGACGUGUCCUAUUUUGUAUGUACCUUACGAAUAAGGAUCGGCUAACUCCGUGCCAGCAGCCGCGGUAAUACGGAGGAUACGAGAAUUAUCCGGAUUUAUUGGGUUUAAAGGGUGCGUAGGCGGCCUUUUAAGUCAUCGGUGAAGGUCUGUGGCUCAACCAUAGAAUUGCCGUUGAAACUGGGUGGCUUGAGUAUGUUUGAGGCAGGCGGAAUGCGUGGUGUAGCGGUGAAAUGCUUAGAUAUCACGCAGAACCCCGAUUGCGAAGGCAGCCUGCCAAGCCAUGACUGACGCUGAUGCACGAAAGCGUGGGGAUCAAACAGGAUUAGAUACCCCGGUAGUC
rnacentral:rRNA from 1 species